GUGCUCACUCUGGCAGCACAUACACUAAAUUUGAAACAAUACAAAGAAGAUUAGCAUGGCCCCGGAACAAGGAUAACAAGCAUUUGUGAAGUGUCCCACGUUUUU
ensembl:snRNA U6 U6 spliceosomal RNA